GAGCUACUCCCUCCAUUUCAAAUUACUCGUCGCUGAAAUGGAUGUAUCUAGAACUAAAAUACAUCUAGAUACAUCCAUAUCGUGCGACAAGUAAUUCGGAACGGAGGGAGUCAAAU
rfam:Triticum aestivum genome assembly, contig: Triticum_aestivum_CS42_TGACv1_scaffold_030387_1BL